rnacentral:rRNA from 1 species
CCAAUAGCGUAUAUUAAAGUUGCUGCAGUUAAAAAGCUCGUAGUUGAAUUUCGGAACUAAUAUGUUGGUCGUGCCUCGGUACGUACUGAUAUUUUUGGUUUCUCCCUUCUGACGAACCUUGAUGUCAUUAAUUUGGUGUCUUGGGAAAUCAGGACUGUUACUUUGAAAAAAUUAGAGUGUUUAAAGCAGGCUCACGCUUGAAUACAUUAGCAUGGAAUAAUGAAAUAGGACGUUUGAUUCUAUUUUGUUGGUUUCUAGGAUCGACGUAAUGAUUAAUAGGGAUAGUUGGGGGCAUUAGUAUUCAAUUGUCAGAGGUGAAAUUCUUGGAUUUAUUGAAGACUAACUACUGCGAAAGCAUUUGCCAAGGAUGUUUUCAUUAAUCAAGAACGAAAGUUAGGGGAUCGAAGACGAUCAGAUACCGUCGUAGUCUUAACCAUAAACUAUGCCGACUAGGGAUCGGAUGAUGUUAAUUUUUUAAUGACUCAUUCGGCGCCUUACG